GUGGGGAAUAUUGGACAAUGGGCGAAAGCCUGAUCCAGCCAUGCCGCGUGUGUGAAGAAGGUCUUCGGAUUGUAAAGCACUUUAAGUUGGGAGGAAGGGCAGUAAGUUAAUACCUUGCUGUUUUGACGUUACCAACAGAAUAAGCACCGGCUAACUUCGUGCCAGCAGCCGCGGUAAUACGAAGGGUGCAAGCGUUAAUCGGAAUUACUGGGCGUAAAGCGCGCGUAGGUGGUUCAGCAAGUUGGAGGUGAAAUCCCCGGGCUCAACCUGGGAACUGCCUCCAAAACUGCAUGACUAGAGUACGGUAGAGGGUAGUGGAAUUUCCUGUGUAGCGGUGAAAUGCGUAGAUAUAGGAAGGAACACCAGUGGCGAAGGCGACUACCUGGACUGAUACUGACACUGAGGUGCGAAAGCGUGGGGAGCAAACAGGAUUAGAUACCCCAGUAGUCC
rnacentral:rRNA from 1 species